GGAGAGAUGGCUCAGUGGUUAAGAGCACUGACUGCUCUUCCAGAGGUCCUGAGUUCAGUUCCCAGCAACCACA
rnacentral:tRNA from 1 species